rnacentral:misc_RNA from 1 species
GAUGAAGAACGUAGCGAAAUGCGAUACGUAAUGUGAAUUGCAGAAUUCAGUGAAUCAUCGAGUCUUUGAACGCACAUUGCGCCCCCUGGUAUUCCGGGGGGCAUGCCUGUCCGAGCGUCAUUGCAGCCCUCAAGCACGGCUUGUGUGUUGGGCCUCCGUCCUCCUCCCGGGGGACGGGCCCGAAAGGCAGCGGCGGCACCGCGUCCGGUCCUCGAGCGUAUGGGGCUUCGUCACCCGCUCUUGUAGGCCCGGCCGGCGCUUGCCGACACAUCAAUCUUUUUUCCAGGUUGACCUCGGAUCAGGUAGGGAUACCCGCUGAACUUAAGCAUAUCAGUAAGCGGAGGA